rnacentral:lncRNA from 10 species
UCGCGCCGGCGCCGGCUCCCCAGCCCAAGCCGGGCAGGGCCGGGCUUUAUUAAUAUGCUAAUUGUCCUGCUAGUGGGAGGGGAGAGCCGUGUCAAAGUGACCCGGGAGAGCGCGCAGCAAGCGACGACGUUUUUGCUGAGGGAGCAUGAAAUGAUGGAACGGUGCAGAGUCCAGGGAUUGAAAAGAAGGCCUGCCUAGGAAUGGAGACCCUCCCCACCAUGUGCUUAGGAUGGGGGAUAGGGGAGCUUGUACACUGUGGAGUCUCCCACCCCCAGGUUUCCCCAUCUCCACCCCCACCAGGAGCAGAGAGGACCUGACUGAAGCCAUCCACACUCACACAAGUAUUUCCUUGGCAGCAUCCCCUGCCUGAGUGCACCCCCUCCCUGCAUUCUCCCAGACAAAGGUCAGCACUAGAGGGAGUAGAGAGAACAUAAGGCAACAGAACACUGGCCCGAAAUUGUGGAUACCUAGGUUUGAACGCAAGAUUCGCUCCUCAAUACCUGAGUGAUUUGAGACAACUGACCACCCCACCUGGGACACUAGCUUUAUCCUCUGUAACCUAUGGCUUGGCCUUUUACACUUGCCGACUCAUUUACCUUUCAUGAGGACCUUUGGAAGAAGGUGCUAUUACCUCCAUUGAACAAGUAGGAAAACUGAAGUUCAGAGAUGAUAAUAAAUUUGAACUUGCCUGUAAAACACUGUUCUCCCUCUUCUUCACCUACUAGUUAAUGCUUCCUUAACACCUUAGUUCUAGCUUCACCUUCUCUGGGAAGAUUACCCUUCCCACUCCCACUGACACUAUAGCCCAGUUACCGGUAAGGAAAUACCAUCUCAGUACUGUUGAAUGGGUGGUUAAAAUAAGUGAUUGGGGCUCCUACAGGAACUCCAUUUAGGCAAGUUAGUUAACUUUGCCAAGGUAACAGAGCUAACAAGCACUUGACCCAUUGCUCCACUCCUUGCCUUACUUCUAGUGUGGAUCA